rnacentral:rRNA from 1 species
UACGUAGGUGGCAAGCGUUGUCCGGAUUUACUGGGCGUAAAGAGCGCGCAGGCGGUCGAAUAAGUCGAAUGUGAAAGCCCCCGGCUUAACUGGGGAGGGUCAUUCGAUACUGCUCGACUUGAAGGCAGGAGAGGGUAGUGGAAUUCCCGGUGUAGCGGUGAAAUGCGUAGAUAUCUGGAGGAAUACCGGUGGCGAAGGCGGCGUUCUGGACCAUUACUGACACUGAAUCGCGAAAGCUAGGGGAGCAAACAGG